rnacentral:tRNA from 1 species
GCCAUCGUAGCUCAGUAGGUGGAGCAUCCGGCUGUUAACCGGAAGGUCACCGGUUCGAGUCCGGUCGAUGGCG